UACGGAGGGAGCUAGCGUUGUUCGGAAUUACUGGGCGUAAAGCGCACGUAGGCGGCUUUUUAAGUCAGGGGUGAAAUCCCGGGGCUCAACCCCGGAACUGCCCUUGAAACUGGAGAGCUAGAAUCUUGGAGAGGCGAGUGAAUUCCGAGUGUAGAGGUGAAAUUCGUAGAUAUUCGGAAGAACACCAGUGGCGAAGGCGACUCGCUGGACAAGUAUUGACGCUGAGGUGCGAAAGCGUGGGGAGCAAACAGG
rnacentral:rRNA from 1 species